rnacentral:rRNA from 1 species
UAUAUGAUGGACCCGCGUCUGAUUAGCUGGUUGGCGGGGUAACGGCCCACCAAGGCGACGAUCAGUAGCCGGCCUGAGAGGGUGGACGGCCACAUUGGGACUGAGACACGGCCCAAACUCCUACGGGAGGCAGCAGUGGGGGAUAUUGGACAAUGGGGGGAACCCUGAUCCAGCGACGCCGCGUGAGUGAAGAAGUAUCUCGGUAUGUAAAGCUCUAUCAGCAGGGAAGAAAGAAAUGACGGUACCUGAGUAAGAAGCCCCGGCUAACUACGUGCCAGCAGCCGCGGUAAUACGUAGGGGGCAAGCGUUAUCCGGAAUUACUGGGUGUAAAGGGAGCGUACACGGUGAUGUAAGUCUGGAGUGAAAGGCGGGGGCCCAACCCCCGGACUGCUCUGGAAACUAUAUGACUGGAG